UGGAGAAGACCCACACCAGCACGAUCAUGAUGGCCGCCCUUUUGGGAGUCCUUUUAGCAGAAUACUCCACCGCAUCGGUGAUGGCCCAGUAGCGGUCCAGGGCGAUGACACAGAGAUGCAUGAUGGAAGCAGUGCAACAGGUGAUAUCCGACGACAGCCAGAAGUCGCAGACCACCUGGCCUAGUGUCCAGCGUCCAGUGACCGUGUACAUGGUGCUGAUGGGCAUCACCAGGAUGGACACGAGCAGGUAAAAUCGUCAUCGAAGACUCCAGCACUGAACAACCCUUUCCUGUGUAGCGAUAGCCCAUAGCCAGGCUCCUCUCAAACAGCCUCACUAUCUCUGAAAGUUGCAUUUCAAAGCAAAACUCCUGCAAGUACCAUUUACAAGAAGGAUCUAUGCGAGGCACAAAGCAAAUCUCAAGCAAACUGAAACUGACAGUUAAUCAAAAAAGAUGAUUAAGAAAAUAACCGUAAUCAAAGGAAAUAACUUCUCCAUCAACAAUCAGCAUAUGCCACGACUGCAAGCUCCUGCUGCCUGCACCUCCUUGCCAUGAUGGACUGUACCUUGAACCCUGUGCUAAAAGAAGCCUGUUCUUCCAUAAGUUGCUUUCAUCAGAGUAUUAUGUCACAGCAACAGAACAGAAA
ensembl:antisense D430036J16Rik RIKEN cDNA D430036J16 gene